CAACAUGAAACUUCAUGUGUGUUCAGAUAUUAAUGACGAACUGUGCAAUGCGUAAACACAAUAACACUUCACUUUAUUAUUUUACAGUUAUUGCCCUUUUCAUCCAUCUGCAACAAUCAAUAAACAAAAUUUAUUCGGUGGGGGAUAUCAAUUCAACGAAUUUACUUGUAUUUUACAGAUAUUCGUGCCUAGAUGCAGAUGAUGCAAAAAGAAACGACCACAAGCAGCACAUGAACUUUUUUGUCGAACUUAUUUCAUAGCACUGUCGCCAUGGUAACAAGACAGGAACAGUUUCUGUCUAAGUGCGCAUGCAUAGUAUCUGUCAUUUGUCUGACAUACUUUUGGUAUAUUCUGGGACCCAGUUCGGACUAUUUCCUUGUGAAUAUAGUCUGUUUCGUAUUCAAAACUUUAGUUUCAGUUAUCGUAUGCAUUCCAGCAUUGUGGAUAAGCCUUUGGCGACCGAAAGAAUUGCUGGAAGACUUCGUGGAGCUAUGCAUUUACUACGGCUGGGCGUAUGUGUCACUAAAUCAGCACAUAAUAACUAUUGAGCGAAACGGCGAUCCAUAUUUCUUAAAAGACACAAUACGAGCAAAUAUAAAGCUGGCAUUGAUGCAAAUUGCGUUGGUUUUAUUCUUCAAAACAGAUGAAAGACACAGUCGUACUUUUGCAAAGUUGUCAACUACGAUUGGUGUUUUGGCGUCAGUACCUGAACUUCUGUGGUUGUCGAAUGUGAAUUACUUGCUGGAACAGUUUGUGUUUUUAAACUGUUCUUUCGAUUGGGUCUGCAGAACGUUCGAUAAGUUUGUCGGCAGAACGUUACAUAAUUAUAUUUCAUCCAGCAUCCGACCUGGCUUUGCAAUAGCCGAAUUCAUAACCAGGUUUUUAGUCUAUUUGCAACUGAUUUUGGGCAGGUGAAAUAGAUAUUUAAUAUAGUAUUUCGUAAUUCUUACAUUUACUCAUUUAGAAUCUUUUUUCUAACAUUUUCUUAAAAAAACAUGGCUAACUCCGUUUUUAGUCAAUUUUUUAGAAACUAAAACAAAUUACGUUCGUAAAACAAUUCUGUUAUUGGAAAAAGCGAGUUAUUUUUAGAAAAUUACCAUCUACAAGGCAAACUUAAAAGAAUUACGUCCCUUGAAAACAACGGGAGACAAUUAUAUUACUGCUUCAUGCGAGGUAGGGGACUUUUAUUGCUUGGCAAUAGUCUUGUUCUUCAUACAAAAUCUUUUUGAUAGCCUUUUACAUUUUCAUUCAGACAACUAAUCCUUUAACAUUUACUUUAAAAGAAACUUCCUUGUAUCUUGCAAAUAGACGUUCAGCGCGUUCUCGUUUCAGACUGUGCGCGUGAAGCCUUAGAGGCUUUUCCAAAUGUUUCUUCUGUUUUGUCGUUCUUAGUUGCUUGCCCUGUAUUGUUUGUGAUAUGCAGAUUAAAAAAUACUGAUGUUAAUUCUUUCGCAAAGAUUGAUUGCUCUUGCCUGAGUUAACAUUUUCAUUUUUCUUUAAUAUUUGUAACACAGAUUUUGAAAAUUGCAAUGUUACCGAUAUUUGAGCUGUCAAUGGAUAUGUUUGCCAAGUUACCUCCCAAGCGGUCAUCAUUAAAAUAAUGUUAACAUUUGUCCAUGUUACCUCCACAGCGGUAACCGCUACAAUCAUGUAAAACCUCUGUCCAGGUUACCGCCACAGCGGCAAACGCUACCAUCAUGUAAACAUCUCUCCAAGUUACUUUCACAGCGGUAACCGCUACAAUUAGGUAAACAUUUGUCCAGGUAACCUCUACAGCGGCAAACGCUACCAUCAUAUAAACAUCUCUCGAGAUUACCUUCACAGCGGUAACCGCUACAAUCAUGUUAACAUAUGUCCUGGUACUCCACAGCGGCAAACGCUAGCAUUAUAUAAACAUCUAUCCAAGUUACCACAACAGCGGUAACCGCUAUUAUCAUGUAACCAUCUCUCCAGGUUACCUCCACAAUGGCAAACGUAACCAUCAUGUAAACAUCUCUCCAGAUUAAUCCAAUAAGUUUUAGACUGUCAAUUGACACACACACUAAGUAUUGAAAGUCAUACCAUGAGCUUUCGUCCGUGUACUACGGACUUCAUCAGCAGAAUGAAUAUCUACUGUUGGGAAACGUUAACACCGCUAAUUGUCGGGCUGGGGGAUGGUAAAGUAUGGUCCCAGGUAUGCGAGAGUUGGUAGCGGCCCCCGUCCUUGUUUAGCGCCGGUCUAAGUGCAAGGAUGUAAAUAGCCUCCUUGAUCCUUCUCUCGAACCAAGAUGGCUCACGGUCCAGAAUCCUAACGUUCUCCAUUGUGAUUGCCUGGCCCGGUUUACAGUCCUGUAUAUGCAUUGAGACCUCAGAUGAUGUUGAACUCGGUCUCCUGUGUUCUGUACCAUAACACAUACUCAAAUAAAGUCGAUGAAUAGUUCUUUGCUCUUU